GCCAGGAUGGCCGAACGGUAAGGCGCACGCCUGGAAAGCGUGUUCCCUUUGGGAUUCUGGGUUCAAAUUCCGAGAGACUCACUCCGUUCGUCUCUCGGCGUUCGCAAACGCUUCGCGUUUGCUCACUCCCAGUCCUGACG
rnacentral:tRNA from 1 species